rnacentral:rRNA from 1 species
GACAGAGGGUGCAAACGUUGUUCGGAAUUACUGGGCGUAAAGCGCGUGUAGGCGGCAGGGCAUGUCGGAUGUGAAAUCCCGUGGCUCAACCACGGAAGUGCACUCGAAACUACCAUUCUUGAGUGUCGGAGAGGAAAGCGGAAUUCCUGGUGUAGAGGUGAAAUUCGUAGAUAUCAGGAGGAACACCAGUGGCGAAGGCAGCCCCCUGGGUUAACACUGACGCUCAUGCACGAAAGCGUGGGGAGCAAACAGG